GUUGCAUUUAUAUGAUCAAGUUCUUGUGCAUCAAUGAUCGUGAUGAUAUGACUCCUUUUUGUUUAUAGUCAUCAUGUUGAAAUUUCCUCUUUCAAAUAAAUGUAGGAAAAAAACAUGUUCCAUUUCAAAUUAAUAAAAAAAGUCGCACUAUGGAGAAAAAUAUCAGCUUUAAGUUUUCCGUUCAGUAUUGAUCUGUGAAUGAUGACCAUGAAAAUC
rnacentral:lncRNA from 1 species